UGGGAGGCCCAGGUUGCAGUGAGCCGAGAUCACGCCACUGCACUCCAGCCUGGGCAACAAAGUGAGAUUCUGUCUCCAAAAAAAGAUUUUUUAAAUUUUUAUUUUAUUUUGAGAUGGAGUUUCACUCUUGUUGCCCAGGCUAGAGUGCAAUGGUGCGAUCUUGGCUCACUGCAACCUUUGCCUCCCA
rnacentral:pre_miRNA from 1 species